UACGGAGGGUGCGAGCGUUAAUCGAAAUCACUGGGCGUAAAGCGCGCGUAGGCGGCUUUUCAAGUCAGGGGUGAAAUCCCACGGCCCAACCGUGGAACUGCCUUUGAAACUGUAGAGCUUGAGUGUCGGAGAGGGUGGCGGAAUUCCAGGUGUAGGAGUGAAAUCCGUAGAUAUCUGGAGGAACACCGGUGGCGAAGGCGGCCACCUGGACGACAACUGACGCUGAGGUGCGAAAGCGUGGGUAGCAAACAGG
rnacentral:rRNA from 1 species